GAGUCAGUCUGCAGGAAGGCAAAAUGGUGGUCACAUCUCUCUGCUUCAGACUGUUGAUGCUUGAAUUUAUUCUUCUUGGGACACAAGUUGUGGACAGUAGUACUCAGAAAAGUGAUGCAGUAUUUCUUCGUAUUACUCCAAACAGACAGCAGCACUUUGAAAACCAGCCUGUCUCUUUUCAUUGUGAGGGGAUUGAUGGUUCAAUUAAAUUCAGAGGGAACACGAGUGCUAAAGAAUUUAAUCUGGAAUGUAAUAUUAAGAGGAUGUCAACAGGGUCUUCCUGCACAUUUGAUAGAGUUUAUUUAGUAGACAGUGGAGAAUACUGGUGUGAAACUAAAGCCAGAGAGAGAAGCAACAGUGUCAACAUCACUG